AUUGAACGCUGGCGGCAGGCCUAACACAUGCAAGUCGAGCGGAUGAAGGGAGCUUGCUCCUGGAUUCAGCGGCGGACGGGUGAGUAAUGCCUAGGAAUCUGCCUGGUAGUGGGGGAUAACGUCCGGAAACGGGCGCUAAUACCGCAUACGUCCUGAGGGAGAAAGUGGGGGAUCUUCGGACCUCACGCUAUCAGAUGAGCCUAGGUCGGAUUAGCUAGUUGGUGGGGUAAAGGCCUACCAAGGCGACGAUCCGUAACUGGUCUGAGAGGAUGAUCAGUCACACUGGAACUGAGACACGGUCCAGACUCCUACGGGAGGCAGCAGUGGGGAAUAUUGGACAAUGGGCGAAAGCCUGAUCCAGCCAUGCCGCGUGUGUGAAGAAGGUCUUCGGAUUGUAAAGCACUUUAAGUUGGGAGGAAGGGCAGUAAGUUAAUACCUUGCUGUUUUGACGUUACCAACAGAAUAAGCACCGGCUAACUUCGUGCCAGCAGCCGCGGUAAUACGAAGGGUGCAAGCGUUAAUCGGAAUUACUGGGCGUAAAGCGCGCGUAGGUGGUUCAGCAAGUUGGAUGUGAAAUCCCCGGGCUCAACCUGGGAACUGCAUCCAAAACUACUGAGCUAGAGUACGGUAGAGGGUGGUGGGAUU
rnacentral:rRNA from 1 species